rnacentral:rRNA from 1 species
AUUGAACGCUGGCGGCAUGCCUUACACAUGCAAGUCGAACGGCAGCACGGGAGCAAUCCUGGUGGCGAGUGGCGAACGGGUGAGUAAAGUAUCGGAACGUGCCCAGUCGUGGGGGAUAACGUAGCGAAAGCUACGCUAAUACCGCAUACGAUCUAUGGAUGAAAGCGGGGGAUCGCAAGACCUCGCCCGAUUGGAGCGGCCGAUAUCAGAUUAGGUAGUUGGUGGGGUAAAGGCCCACCAAGCCGACGAUCUGUAGCUGGUCUGAGAGGACGACCAGCCACACUGGGACUGAGACACGGCCCAGACUCCUACGGGAGGCAGCAGUGGGGAAUUUUGGACAAUGGGCGCAAGCCUGAUCCAGCAAUGCCGCGUGCAGGAUGAAGGCCUUCGGGUUGUAAACUGCUUUUGUACGGAGCGAAAAGGCUCUCUCUAAUACAGGGGGCUCAUGACGGUACCGUAAGAAUAAGCACCGGCUAACUACGUGCCAGCAGCCGCCGCAGUAA